AGAUUGGUGAUGACUCCUACAAAUGCAUUCCUUAGAAAUCUGAACAAAAUGAGUGCCAAUUUCUACUGUCAUCCUCAUUGGAAAUGAGUUCC